GACAGAGGGGGCAAGCGUUGCUCGGAAUUACUGGGCGUAAAGGGCGCGUAGGCGGAAUGGCAAGUCGGUCGUGAAAUCCUUCGGCUCAACCGAAGAACGUCGAUCGAAACUGCCGUUCUUGAGGAUUGCAGAGGAGACUGGAAUUCCCGGUGUAGCGGUGAAAUGUGUAGAGAUCGGGAGGAACACCGGUGGCGAAGGCGGGUCUCUGGGCAAUUCCUGACGCUGAGGCGCGAAAGCGUGGGAGCAAACGGG
rnacentral:rRNA from 1 species